UGGGGAAUUUUGGACAAUGGGCGAAAGCCUGAUCCAGCCAUUCCGCGUGCAGGAUGAAGGCCCUCGGGUUGUAAACUGCUUUUGUACGGAACGAAAAGCCCUCUUCUAAUACAGGGGGGUCAUGACGGUACCGUAAGAAUAAGCACCGGCUAACUACGUGCCAGCAGCCGCGGUAAUACGUAGGGUGCAAGCGUUAAUCGGAAUUACUGGGCGUAAAGCGUGCGCAGGCGGUGUUGUAAGACAGAGGUGAAAUCCCCGGGCUCAACCUGGGAACUGCCUUUGUGACUGCAAGGCUGGAGGGCGGCAGAGGGGGAUGGAAUUCCUCGUGUAGCAGUGAAAUGCGUAGAUAUGCGGAGGAACACCGAUGGCGAAGGCAAUCCCCUGGGCCUGCACUGACGCUCAUGCACGAAAGCGUGGGGAGCAAACA
rnacentral:rRNA from 1 species